GGCCUUUCCCACAGGCAUUUUCCUCAGGCGUUUCCCACCACAAUCUCCUCCCGCCCGUCCCCUCGGUCCAUCUCUCUGCCGUCAACAGCAGCCCUCUCCCUGAGAUUGCUCCACAAACGCUACACUCCAGCUCCCAGCUGCUGCGUCUUCUAGGGAACCAGCAUCCCUGUCUGGGAUGACCUUCCCAGAUGGAUCAGCCAUAAAGAAUUUGCCUGAAAUGCAGGAGAUGUGGGUUCGCUCCCUGUCAGGAAGAUCCCCUGGAGGAAGGCACUGUAACCCACUCCAGUAUUCUUGCCUGGAGAAUCCUGUGAAUAGAGGAAUCUAGUGGGCUACAGUCCAUAAAGUCGCAAAGAGUUGGACACAACUGAAGCAGCUGGGCACACAUGCAGACUUCAGGUGACUCUACCGGUAAAGAAUCCACCUGCCAAUGCAGAAGACACAGAGAUAUAGGUUU